ensembl:lncRNA
GUUCUAUCCUAAAUGUUUGUCUGUCCAGGUCUAAAGGAGAACCUCCCUCUUUCCCUCUCUCUAUCCUGAACAUAACAAAAAGCAUCAAUGGUCCUUUACUCCUGGACAUCUGAACACUUUCAUGGUUAAAGAAGUGAUUAUAAUCAAGAGUCCUGUCAUUUCAAGUCUGGAUUAUGACCCUUUCACUGGGCUUCACACUGCUGGCACCAGCCUCAGUCAAUCCACAUCCCCCACCUCUGGUUCAUGAUGUCACUACAGUCCCCCACCUCUGGUUCAUGAUGUCACUACAGUCCCCCACCUCUGGUUCAUGAUGUCACUACAGUCCCCCACCUCUGGUUCAUGAUGUCACUACAGUCCCCCACCUCUGGUUCAUGAUGUCACUACAGUCCCCCACCUCUGGUUCAUGAUGUCACUACAGUCCCCCACCUCUGGUUCAUGAUGUCACUACAGUCCCCCACCUCUGGUUCAUGAUGUCACUACUGUCCCCUAGCUCUGGUUCAUGAUGUCACUACUGUCCCCUAGCUCUGGUCCAUGAUGUCACUACAGUCCCCUAGCUCUGGUCCAUGCUGUCACUACUGUCCCCUAGAUCUGGUCCAUGAUGUCACUACAGUCCCCUAGCUCUGGUCCAUGAUGUCACUCCUGUCCCCUAGCUCUGGUCCAUGAUGUCACUCCUGUCCCCUAGCUCUGGUUCAUGAUGUCACUACUGUCCCCUAGCUCUGGUUCAUGCUGUCACUACUGUCCCCUAGAUCUGGUCCAUGAUGUCACUACAGUCCCCUAAAUCUGCUCCAUGAUGUCACUACAGUCCCCUAGCUCUGGUCCAUGAUGUCACUCCUGUCCCACUGGCUCUGGUCCAUGAUGUCACUACUGUCCCCUAGCUCUGGUUCAUGAUGUCACUACUGUCCCCUAGCUCUGGUUCAUGCUGUCACUACUGUCCCCUAGAUCUGGUCCAUGAUGUCACUACAGUCCCCUAGCUCUGGUCCAUGAUGUCACUACAGUCCCCUAGCUCUGGUCCCUGGUGUCACAAAAUCCACUUGGUCUGAUCCCUGGUGUCACUACACCACCCAGCUGUCACCACAUCCCUGAUUAAUGGGAUGUUCUAGAAACUAAGUUAUAAAGCCCAAUGGGUCCAGAGACAGUACAAUGUAGCAGCAACCGUGAGCCAAAUAGCCUGUUGGCAAAUGUUUUCGCAGGUUGUGUGCAUCACGGAUUAAAUAAGCUUCAUGACUGGAUAGAUCGGUUUAACUGAUGGGUUUAACUUUUAAAUAUCAUAAUUGUAAAGGUUGUGUUAACUGUAGCCUGUCAUUUGUAUGUACUAUUUUAACCACUCAUUGGUAUUCACAAUAAACUAAGCC